rnacentral:rRNA from 1 species
CCUACGGGUGGCAGCAGUGGGGAAUAUUGGACAAUGGGCGAAAGCCUGAUCCAGCCAUGCCGCGUGUGUGAAGAAGGCCUUCGGGUUGUAAAGCACUUCCAGUGGGGAAGAAAGCCUUGGGGCUAAUACCCUCGAGGAAGGACAUCACCCACAGAAGAAGCACCGGCUAACUCCGUGCCAGCAGCCGCGGUAAUACGGAGGGUGCGAGCGUUAAUCGGAAUUACUGGGCGUAAAGCGCGCGUAGGCGGUCUGAUAAGCCGGUUGUGAAAGCCCCGGGCUCAACCUGGGAACGGCAUCCGGAACUGUCAGGCUAGAGUGCAGGAGAGGAAGGUAGAAUUCCCGGUGUAGCGGUGAAAUGCGUAGAGAUCGGGAGGAAUACCAGUGGCGAAGGCGGCCUUCUGGACUGACACUGACGCUGAGGUGCGAAAGCGUGGGUAGCAAACAGGAUUAGAUACCCCGGUAGUC